GAACUCGGGCUCCGUACUGUAGUCGUUGGAUAUUCAGAACGAAAUAACAAGUUGUUCACAAUGUUCUCUGUCUGUGAUCGCGUGAUUUUUGCGUAGUUUGUGAAACUUGUACGAGUACAAGAAUUUUCUGCAGCGUAGAACAAUGGCACCACGUCCAGGAAGAACACGUGUAUGGAAUCGAAUGUCCAAUAUACAAAUGGAGACCUUGAUCAACUAUAUGGAACAGCACACGUUGUUUGCAAGGGGACAAAUUCCUAAGCUUGGAUCUCAAGGUCAGGUUAAGUACAGAAAGAUGUGGAUGGAAUUAUGUACAACAUUGAAUGGAAUGGGACCUUGCAUAACUGACGUCAAGGGAUGGCAGGAGAAAUGGACUCGAAUGCGACUAUCAGCCAAAUCUCAAAAGACGCAAUUCAAUAGAGCAUGGAAUAAGACUGGCCAUGAUGAGCAAACUAUUGUCUUAAGUUCAAACAAUGAAAGGAUUUCAGGCAUUUUUGGUAAAUAUGGAAGUGGUGUUAAUAUUGGACGAGAGCUAGGGUUCUCUAAGUGUACGUGGGUACGGAAGACAUCUCAAGAAGCACCUACAUGUCCACGUACAUGUGAUGAUGAGCUUGAUUGGCUUGAAGACUUUCAUUCAGUUUGCUUUCGAGUUUCUCCAAUUUUCAAGAAAUUCCAAAGCACAUGGAAUAUUUCAUGAAGAUUUUUGAUGAAAAUCGUUGUUCAUCUAUUUUUCUUGCAAUGCAAAGGUAACUAUAAUUCAAAUUAUUUAAAUUACGUCAUAAUAUAAAAAAAAAGUAAAACUAUGAUUAUCAAUAUGUAAUGGUGUAGAUUUUGGUGUGAAAAAAUUUUAAACUCUUCAAUUCUUAAUUUAUAAAUUCGUACUUACUUAUUUCCUUGCUUCUAUAGUUUAACGCGUUUAAUUAUUUAUUACUAUUAUUAUAUAUAAAUUUCUGAGUUCCUUGUCUCGUUGUUGUAUGGCUUGAAAAAUAAUUUUUUUGAAAUGUUGCACAUUUUGACCGUAAAGCGCUGCACUCGACGGAAAUCGAAUUUCACGGUUUUCUAAUUAAUUUUUAACAAUUAAUAUUCCUAAUAAUUAAUGAAAAAUAAACAUGUGUUCAAUUGUUAUUAUUAAAAAAACGACUAAUUACGCGGUUUCCACAAGAUAUUCUGAUUAAUCCCAUAAUUGCAACAUAAAACACCGGAAGUCUCCUAAUUCCCGCGCGAACAAAUGUUAUACAUUGUUUGUCAUUAAGGAGAUAGCGUCAGUCUUGCUUUCCUCUUCCGUGAGUAAGUAAGCGCAUUGCUGUCACAAUUACAGGACAUCAUGGAAUUCAAUCCAUCUGAAUCAAAGUAAUCUUAUACGAAUAUUACUUAAGUUUACUUAUAUUUAUUACUUUAUAUUAUUAAUUACUUAUAUUUAUACUUAUUUCUUAACCCGCCAUUUUUACUUUACGCCAACCUCGUUUAAUGAAAAUCGCUUGAUUUCUUUCAGGAAAAAGGGAAAGGGGAAGCAACCCAUCCAAAAACCCAGCCUCUCAAAAAUGCUAGCUCUCGUAGACGUGAUCGAGCGGCACCUGGAGAUCGUCUUGGAUCAUCCUGGCGAUGAUACGAACCACGCUACCUGGGAGGUUGUGGCACUUUUUGCUAAUAAAGCAGACGAAGACGGCGUUCAAAAAAAUGGAAAGUCAUGGAGAAAGACUUGGUGCGAUCUCAUACUGUCAGCAAAGCAGAAUGUUUAUUUGGUUGAACAGAAUAUACGGCAAAAUCCAUUGCCAGAUCACCACAUGAAGGCGAUACAAAUUGUGACAAGAGCAGAGCAAGUAAAAUCUUUCUCAGCGAGACGCACUCAAGUACAGCAAAAUAAUGCUGUUGUCAGUCGAAGACUUUCUUCUUCUUCAGCGCUCAAGAGAGCAAGGAUGGAAGGCAAUCCUGCAGGAUUUGGAGACGAAGAUGGGCCAUCAACCAGCAGUGGAUACAGAAGUGCUACAAGUUACGUCAAUCGACAUUUGCCAACUGCAGCUUUGCCAACUGCAGCUCAACCGUCAUCACCUUGGAGUACAAAUAACGCUGGAACCACAACUGCUACCACAACUUCCAGCUCUAACAUAUGUUCUAAUUCAACUGCAGGCACAACAGCUGCAGCUGAAAAAAGUAGUGCUUUUAUCAAAGCUUUUGACUCAAAAAUAAAGGAGUUGGUUGAUGUAUUAGCAGCACAGUUUAUAUCCUGUUUCGAGCAGCAGCAUGUGCUUUUGCAAAAUUGCUUUGCGAAGCAGAAUGAACUGCUCUUGAAAAUGAUUUGGUUAAUGAUGCAGCACAAGAUGAUGAAGAUGAAGUGCCACUUCCGGAUAACCCACAACCUUCGUCUCCUAGAAAUGCUCCUGUAGUCGAAGAGGAAACUGAAGAAACUGAAUAUACGGCAAGUGGCACAGUUGAAUCUUUUUUAGAAGAUCAUGUUGAUGAUGAUGGUUUCAUCUAUGAAACUUUAGAUAAUGAUUUUUAUUAAAUUCAAGAGAAAUGCCCGAUAUGCCUGGAUGUAUUGACCAGACCAGCCAUCAUACCAAGAUGUGCCCAUGUGUUCUGCUAUGAAUGCAUUUACGAGUGGGUCGAUAAGGAGCUUGAGUGCCCAUUGUGCAGAAUAAUAAUUAAUACUUUUGAUAUUGCUGAGUUGCCAUAGCCUCACUUUAAUAGUUUUAUUG